rnacentral:rRNA from 1 species
AGCGAACGCUGGCGGCAGGCUUAACACAUGCAAGUCGAGCGGGCCUUUCGGGGUCAGCGGCGGACGGGUGCGUAACGCGUGGGAACGUGCCCUCUGGUUCGGAAUAACUCAGGGAAACUUGAGCUAAUACCGGAUACGCCCUUUUGGGGAAAGGCUUGCUGCCGGAGGAUCGGCCCGCGUCUGAUUAGCUAGUUGGUGAGGUAACGGCUCACCAAGGCGACGAUCAGUAGCUGGUCUGAGAGGAUGAUCAGCCACACUGGGACUGAGACACGGCCCAGACUCCUACGGGAGGCAGCAGUGGGGAAUAUUGGACAAUGGGCGCAAGCCUGAUCCAGCCAUGCCGCGUGAGUGAUGAAGGCCUUAGGGUUGUAAAGCUCUUUUAUCCGGGACGAUAAUGACGGUACCGGAGGAAUAAGCCCCGGCUAACUUCAU